UACGUAGGGGGCUAGCGUUGUCCGGAUUUAUUGGGCGUAAAGAGCGUGUAGGCGGCCUGGUAGGUCUGCUGUGAAAACUCGAGGCUCAACCUCGAGAUGUCGGCGGAAACCAUCUGGCUAGAGUCCGGAAGAGGAGAGUGGGAAUUCCUGGUGUAGCGGUGAAAUGCGCAGAUAUCGGGAAGAACACCCGUGGCGAAGGCGGCUCACUGGCCCCGGUUCGUGACGCUGAGGCGCGAAAGCUAGGGGAGCGAACAGG
rnacentral:rRNA from 1 species